rnacentral:rRNA from 1 species
GAUGAACGCUAGCGGCAGGCCUAACACAUGCAAGUCGAGGGGUAGAACACUUCGGUGUUUGAGACCGGCGCACGGGUGCGUAACGCGUAUGCAAUCUACCUUGUACAGGGGAAUAGCCCAGAGAAAUUUGGAUUAAUGCCCCAUAGUAUAUAACCUUCGCAUGUUGGUUAUAUUAAAGUUCCAACGGUACAAGAUGAGCAUGCGUCCCAUUAGUUAGUUGGUAAGGUAACGGCUUACCAAGACGAUGAUGGGUAGGGGUCCUGAGAGGGAGAUCCCCACACUGGUACUGAGACACGGACCAGACUCCUACGGGAGGCAGCAGUGAGGAAUAUUGGUCAAUGGUCGCAAGACUGAACCAGCCAUGCCGCGUGCAGGAAGACGGUCCUAUGGAUUGUAAACUGCUUUUAUACAGGAAGAAACCCUCCCACGUGUGGGAGCUUGACGGUACUGUAGGAAUAAGGAUCGGCUAACUCCGUGCCAGCAGCCGCGGUAAACA